UACGGGGGGGGCAAGCGUUGUUCGGAAUUACUGGGCGUAAAGGGCUCGUAGGUGGCCAACUAAGUCAGACGUGAAAUCCCUCGGCUUAACCGGGGAACUGCGUCUGAUACUGGAUGGCUUGAGUUUGGGAGAGGGAUGCGGAAUUCCAGGUGUAGCGGUGAAAUGCGUAGAUAUCUGGAGGAACACCGGUGGCGAAGGCGACUCUUUGGCCUGUAACUGACGCUGAGGCGCGAAAGCGUGGGGAGCAAACAGG
rnacentral:rRNA from 1 species